rnacentral:lncRNA from 1 species
UUUUUUUUUUUUUUGCUUACAUAAAACCUAGAUUGAGAGUUAAAUCUGUAGCUAAACGUUCCACGAUUAUGCUUAUUUGGAUAGUGUUCAGCUUGGAAAGAGGACCUUGUGUAACCUGAUAAAGUUAACGGAUAUUUCACAAUGUAAAGUUUUCAAUGAGUCAUACAGAGUGUCAUCAGAUUAGCUCAAGUCAGGAUUUAUGAUUCUAGUCUUUUGGUCUCGGGGUAGUAGCUUUUGUAAUAUUGAUUGAUAAAUUCUUAGAAUAGUAUCAGAAAUGUAGAAGCUAACUCUGAUGUUUAUUCAAGAAAAUAUGAACUUCGGUGAUAUAGGUUUUCUUCUUUUCCACAAGGAUAGUAAGUGUAAUAUAUUGUUUGAACUUUGAAGGAGGGAAUUUGGAUCAGGACCAGUGGAACUUUAAUUAUUACACCAAUAUGCUACUUCGAACUUCUCAAAUGUUUUACUAUUAUCCUCUGAUGCCAUCAAAUUUAAUGUGCUUAACUUUUAAUGUUGCUACUCACCAACUUCUUCUUAUGAUUAUCUAAGGGGUUUCAACAAGUUGGUUGAUUCUUUGGUUAAUUUGACUUGUACUCCCAUUAUAUUCUUUGAUUUAGAUCAUUCCCCCUCCCUCCAAACUCCCUCGCCGGCUCUCCCCUGGGCCAAAAUAAUACUAGCUAUCAUUUGCUUUUGUCCUACUCUAGUCUAGUCUGUGUAUGCCAUGUCCAUUAAUGAAGCAUUGUCUUUCUUGCUACUUGCUGUUGUGAAGGAAGGUUUACCCUGUUAUUAUUUCCUCUGGUCUGCUGUCUUGAAUUAAAGUGCUAUUAUUGAAGGACCAUGAGCUUAAAUUAAUAUCAUGUGAAAGCUCUAAUGAUGUAUUCUCAAAUUCAGAUUUCCCUGAUAGUUCUAUCUUGCCUGUAUUGCUUGGGCUAAUUGUGAUGUAUUGUUUUAAGUUGAGUAUUUAGCCUUGGUUUUCUAUUUUGGUCGAUCAUUUAUAGUUUACAAUCAUUCUUUCUCUACCCAUAUAGGGUGUGUGUGGAAAGGAGUGUAUUUAAAGUAGUUAUCUUUCAAACAGAGAUGUUUACUAAAAUCGGAUCGAACUGAUAAAUGUAGUUGCACAGAAAUAUUGCAUAGAAACAAGAGAAGAUGCCUGCACAGAAGAUUGAAACCGGUCAUAAUGACACUGUUCAUGAUGUUUCUAUGGACUAUUACCGAAAGCGAAUGGCAACAGCAUCAUCUGACAAUACCAUAAAAAUCGUUGGUGUAGGCGACAACUCUGCUUCACAGCACCUUGCCUCUCUGAGUGGUCAUAGUGGUCCUGUUUGGCAGGUUGCUUGGGCGCAUCCCAAAUUUGGGUCGAUCCUUGCUUCCUGCUCCUAUGACGGUAAAGUCAUAAUCUGGAAGGAAGGAAAUCAAAAUGAGUGGACACAAGCUCAUGUUUUUAGUGACCACAAAUCAUCCGUUAACUCUAUUUCGUGGGCCCCUCAUGAACUUGGGCUUUGUUUAGCCUGUGCUUCUUCUGAUGGUAAUAUAUCAGUUCACAAUGCUAGGUCAGAUGGUGGUUGGGACACCAAAAAAAUAGACCAAGCUCAUCCGGUCGGGGUAACAUCUGUUUCAUGGGCGCCAUCAAUGUCUCCUGGUGCUAUAGUAGGCUCAGGUGUGCUUGAACCUGUUCAGAAGCUAGCAUCUGGCGGCUGUGAUAACACUGUGAAGGUUUGGAAGUUAUAUAAUGGCAUAUGGAAGAUGGAUUGCUUCCCAGCACUUCAGAUGCAUAGUAAUUGGGUGAGGGAUGUAGCCUGGGCGCCGAACUUGGGGCUUCCAAAGUCAACAAUGGCUAGUGCUUCAGAAGAUGGUACAGUUGUCAUAUGGACCAUGGCAAAAGAGGGAAAUCAGUGGGACGGGAAGGUUCUUAAAGACUUUCAAAAUCCUGUUUGGAGGGUUUCAUGGUCUCUAACUGGAAACUUGUUGGCAGUGGCUGCUGGUGAUAACAAUGUCACAUUGUGGAAAGAAGCAAUUGAUGGGGAGUGGCAAGAGGUCUCCACUGUUGACCAAUAGAAUUAAAGUUCUGUUUUAUUCCAAAUCUUUCUCCCUGGGUCGAGUGAUGGUUAAUUUUUUAUGUUUCAGGACUCAUUAUUCUCUACCUUGAUCCUUUUCGUUGUAAUUGAUAUAUAUGAUCAGUGUACUAGAGCUAGGAAGUUGCAAAAAUUAGUAAUUCAUAGACCUUAUUCUUUUUCCCUUUUUGGGACCUGAGCUGUAUGGCCGUUCAUUAUAUUGCAUUUUGACCCUAUCUUGUCGAGUAAUUUUAUUUUUAUGACACUAUCUUGUCGAAUUACUAGUUACAAUUAGCUAAUCGAGCAUGUUGAUUUCAUGUGAUGGCCACCUCUUGCUCCUUGAAGUUUUGCUUUUCCGUUGAAUUUAUGAUGCCGGAGAGAGUUUAACAUAAUCCAAUAGCUUUAGUCCAAAUUUUAUAUUUGUAUUUAAAAAUUCACUUAAUGCAUAUAAAUAAUUUAUUCGAAACCCUAGGUUCAUCAUUAUAUCUUUAGCUUGUCACCUCCAUGCGAAGGGAGUAUAACAUCAGAACAAAAACUUUAGCUGUGAUCAUUCAGGAAGCAUCAAGGUAGUGAAUUUUACAAUCUCGUUAUAAUAUGAUAUGAGUAAUUAAUAAGCAGCACCUGAAAUUUCUCCAUGCAAAUGGGGUGUCUCUUUUAGGGCUUAUCUAAGAGUUAGGAUAGGUGGACACAUGCAUUAAGAAAUAAAGGUCAUUCCAAGACUAGCAACUACUCCAGAAGUGGCACAACUGGGUGACCAAAUAGUGAAAUGUCUAAAGGCAGUACAGAGCCAUCAGUAAAACCUAGGCAAACAAAGUAGUUACUUGCACUCCGAUCAACGUAAAUGGUGAUUCAUUAAUAGAAUACUGAAUAAAAUUUUGAAAAACAAAAUGCAGCAGAUAAAAAUGAAAAUGCAAAGGUGUGGUCAUCAGAGACAGGCAAUUGUGAUUGUUAACGACAUUUAUUUUGAGAUUUUCUUUUAUAUCUGAAUCCAUUUUGAAUUCAAGCUAGUGCAUAAAACUGCCAUUCCAGUCGAUCUCAUUCAAAUGUCAAAAACAAACAUUAACAGUCUCAAUCAAUUUCAGGUUUAAAUUUAGCCAUCACUUUGGAUCGCUGAAGAAGCCAUUGAUAGAUGGCAUGAUCUCUGGAGCCCUGUUACGAACAAACUUCCUAAGAGCAUGCUCUGCAUAUUUCUCCCCUUCUGUAAAGUUAUCCAGCACUCCUGCUGCCCUGUUCUCCUUGGUCACCCUAUGUUUUGCAUAAACACAAAGACACCAGUGAAACUAUAAGAUAUAUUGCAAUUCUCUACUUUCUAAUACUCCACUUUCUCAUUUCUUUAUGACUUCAGAAAAAUUUAGGAAAAAAACGAGUAACAUCCAUUAAAAGCAACAAUAAGCUGCAGCUUAGAGAAGUUGAAUGUCCUAUUGUCAGUUUCAUUCUCCCUUUUCAUGUUGGCUUAAAAAGAAAACAUCCAAUACAACAAUGAACAACCAUAUAAGCAAAAAUCUCAACAUACAAUCAGAACCGAAGGUAGAGUCCAUUAAAAGUACCAAUAAGCUGCAGCUUACAGAAGUUGAAAGUCCGAUUUUACACAGUUUUCCUUCUUCAAUUUCUAUUUCAGUUCAAAAGGUAACAUCUAACAUGGAAAGGUCUCAAACAAUGGAGCUAACUCCAACCGGUCUAUUACAAGCCCCAAAAGUUCAUUCUAGACACUGCACAAAACUUGCAGUUGAAAUUGUAUGUAGCCAUGAAACUUCAGUGAUGAGGCAACAAAAACCAAGAUGUAGAAGUAACUUAUGCUGAGAGCAUUUCUUCUGUAUUAAAAAUGCCUUUCAAAGACCACAGAUUCUGAAGUCCUCGUCCUUUUCAGUCAUGCAAAUAACUGAUUUUGUGAGUCGAUAAAUUAUUUAACAGCAAGAAAGCAUAAUGUCACAAAAAAAUAUCUCCUAACUAUGGAUGGCAAAGGGGCAGGGAUAAACUACCUACCCUGAAACAGCCCAAUGCCUCUGUAAAAUGCUCUUAAUACAGCGACACACCCCAGCCCCAGAUUUCUUUACUACCACCCUGCCCCGCAAGAUUUCUCUAUUUCUAGAAGAAAAUUUCCUCAUACUUCUGCAAUCUAUUCCUCCUCCUUACAGUUUCAUUCUUCCUUUCAUAAUUCCAAUACAUUAAAAUUUUCACAAAUGGUAUAAUUUAUGCAUCUGAAACAGUGUCAAUAGAAGAAAUUAUGUAUAAAAGCGUAGCAUUCAAUUACUCCAUUCAUUAAAAUAUGAACCAAAAAGGUUCAUUUUCAACUAAUUGAACCAAAUUCUGGAGCCAUACUACUGGUAAUAAAUUAAGGAGAUGCAUUGUUCUGAUAGAGACGCAUCAAAUGUGGGGCACCUAUUAAUACAUAUACAUAUUUAAAUAUUAUUAUCUGGCUUACUAUGGGAGUACAUAUUUAUACUUAUAUAUGCUGGAUCAAGCUUCGUGCAUGCCUUUUCAUUUAAGAAGCUAGCUAGCUUCCUAGAAAGUCCAAAUAUGUCAUAAAAAUGUACAAGACAAAACUUUCAAAAAUUAUUUUAAGAACCAGGCAAUUCAUAGUAACACACACACAUACACACACAGCGGCAUAAAGGGAGGGGGUGAGGUACCUGACUUCAGGGUUGAUGCAGAUGUUGCGAACCAAUUGAAACCCACAAAUUCCAACAGCUACUCCCACCGCUGCAAAUAGUGGAUACACCUAUAUAUAUAACACCACAAAAUAAUAAUAUAGCAUCAUCAGUACUCAGUUAGAUCAGAUAUAACGACCAGACUAUAAAACCCAAAACCCAUACCCCCCUUAUAUAGUAAAUGCAUUGUAAUACUACACAUGCUGCCGCUGCCACUAUGCUAGAUCCCCCUUUUAAGUUCUAAGGAGAGAGAGAGAGAGAGGAAAUGUAGGGGAAAUGACACAGACCUCGGGCCUCAGCCAUCGGUUAAUGGUGGAGGAGGCAGCCAUGGGAAAGCGGAGCUGAAUCGGAAAAUGAAGGCUACUUUAAAACAAUGGACGGAGCUGGCGACGAUGAAAAUGUUAAUGCCCACAUUUAUAUUGGAUUUUCUCUCGAAUGUUCUCAUUGGCUGCAAUUUGGUUUUGUUUAGUUCAAUUUACGCCAAGGCCCAUAUUGUAUUGAACUGUAUUCCAAGUGGCUCUGUCAGCCUCGUAACUCGUGAUUUUUUUAUUUUUUAUUAAAAGAAUUUCAGAAAGGACUUCUUUAUUUUGUAUUAGUAUAUACCGAUAUAAGUAAAUGGUUUUGUCACGAUAAGAAUCAAUCAAAGGCUAAUUUCUUGUGUGUUAUGCCACGGUGAGAACCAUUUUACCUCUUAAAUUUAAUACCAAAUGUCCAUUUUUUUCACCCAAACUUCGAACAAUUUCAUUAAAGCUAAUAAUUCUUUACUAUUAGUCUAUUACUUUAUCUUUUAAAAAAAUUCUUCCUCAGUCAUCUAACUUUAAUUUAAAUAUCAAAAUGCCAUAAAUAAUGGAAUAUAAAAUUAGUAAAUACACAGAGAUAGUGGACCGACUAUCAAGAAUUCCACCUGGGUGGCUUGCAACUUGCAAGAGCAAUAUCCAAUUCAAUUCAUAAACAUUUUGCUAAAAAAUUCUAUCUUUUCUUUCCACUGUUCAAGAGCCCAGUUUCACACCGACCCCCCCCCCCCCAAAAAAAAAAAAAACAUAAAAAAGUAAAGCCAUACUAUAGCAUACAUUAUGAAAAAGUUUUUUAGGAAAAACUGGAAGUGUUUUUACAGUAGCAUACAUUAUGGAAAAGUUUUUCGGAAGACACCCGACAACUAUAAUUUCAAAAAUAGCUUUUUGCAAGACAAGCUCAGAAAAUCAAAUGAAUGCAAGGACAAAUGUUGUUAAUCAUCAAUUAUAUGGUGGUGUCGUCCAUUUAGUCUACAAGUUAACCAAUUUCCAAUUGCCUUACUAUGGCAUCAAAUAAAAUCGAACACCAACUUCCAAGAUUGAGUUUCUUUAUCCAAAACCAAGAUUAGAAGCCUACCCAUUGCAAGACUCUAGUAAUAUAUUACUUCAAUACGACUAUCCAGCUUUUGGAGCACAGGGACCUUCAUAUUGUUGGACUUAACUGCAAAAUGGGGAGUGAAGGAAAAUCAGCCUGUGAGGUAGACUCUCACCACGAAAUCAAACACGCGUACUCUUUUCACUUUAGGCAUCACGUGUCCAAAGCUCGUUAGACCGAUGAAUCCAGAUAAAUAGCGAGUAAACCCACUUAGGGUAAAACCGCUCCCUACUAAGAAUAUCCCAUGGACUCGAACCCGAGACCUUUGAUUAAAGAUAAAACACUAGUUCUUCAAUAUAACUAAACCAAUACAUAUAUGAAAGAUGGAAGUAACACCUUGCCAAGAAAGGAAUAAAUCUCACUUAUGUUUCAGCAUAAUUCAGGAAUUGGAAUGUGUGCGCUGUACAAAGUUAGGGCCUAAAACUCACUGCAACUUCCCAUAUAAGCUUCUCCACUAUACCACUUUCACCUAGCUCACUCCACAGGGGCCGCUACAGAUGCUGCUGAGGAAAUGCAAUCUAGGCUCCUUGUGAUCCCAAGAAAGAAAUACAAUUCAAUAAAUACAGCUCUACAAUUUAACAUCAUCAGGAAAACCCAUAUUUACAAGAAAACGACUCUAAUUCCAUCACAAGUAUAAUACAGUUUGACGAAUAACUCCACUCCUUGAUCAUUGUUCUGAGGGUGAAGUCAAUUCGAGAGAAUUCCGCCACCAAGUGCUCAACCAGUUGGGUCAAGUAAGUAGUUGUACCGAAGAAAUCAAGAAAAUCUGAAGUGUGCAGACAUCAGUAGGGAGUAAGAGUGAGACUUCUUUGAGUAGCAACAAAUACUGAUGUGAAUUUAGAGUAAAUAUAGACCUAGAUAUAUACACAUUUGGCUAGAUAACUGAUGCAUACCUUGAUUGACACAUGUUUAACAAGAAGGCCAUGCAUCGUCAUAACGAGGAUGUCAAAACACGGUGGAAGCGUGCUACUCUCGCCUGGCCAUGCCACAAUAAUCUGCCAGCCGAAAUCUUUUUUCUUUUCCUUCCAAGACGGUAAAAGAAGUCCUCUGUGUCCAGUACGUAAGAAAUCUGCAAGGCUUUAUCUUAUCAAUGCAAUAAUUCAUAGGGGAUGUUACUACAAGUGCCAGAUGCACUCAUCGAGCUAUCUGCUCUCUAUUUUGGUUUGAUUAUGUAUGAGUUCUCAGCUAAAGAUAAAAACAAUAAUAGGAUAAACAAGAAUCAGGCACUAACUUUCUCAGUACAACUAAUGCUACAUAAGGUUAAAAGUAUAUAAACAAUUUCACAAAGUUGUAUUAAACAUAUGCAAUUUUAGCAGUUGCAGUCAAAGUAGAAAUUCAUGUACCUUUGAUGAAUUUGAAGCCAUCUUACACUCCAAGCCAUUUACGAGUAUAAUAUUUUCCCUCACCAUGCACAGGGCAGAAGAUACGUCAUGGUCAGUAUGUUUUCUCUUGUUUCUGCUCACAGAUCUCACAAAAGGAAAUUACAAAAGAAGCAGAUCAGACACGGAAAACAUUGAAUGUUUAUUCUACUUCUUGACACGUAAAGCAAAAUAUUUUCAUUGAUAAAAUUGCACCAAAAAAGUUGAAGAUAAGGUAGCUUAUCCUCUUUAACAGUGAAGAGAACUUGUAAAUUCCACCAAGUUGUCUAAAUCAUUACCUAAAUCUGUGUUACACCAUAAAAAACAUGUGUAAGCAUUUGAACUUUACAAAAGGCAAGGAUAAAUUAUCAUCCUCUAAACACCGAUAAUUUCUUUCUAUCCAUACUGUCCAAAGAUUGAAUGCUUAUUCUACUGACACAGUUACUUAAUUGAGAAAAUCGAGAGCAAGGUACUGAAUCUCAAGGCAAAGGCAGGUGUGUUCUCCAGCCUCCUUUCUCAAGUAACACUUUCCAAAGGGCAGUCAAGCAAGGUUUUCCAGUUAGCACCAAAAAAGCAUCAUGAUCUGCACCUCUGUCGACAUAAUCUGUCCAUAUCUGACAUAUACUAGAGUGGAACAAAAUCUUCUGCUUUAAUUAACCUACAGUGACUGUAUAUACAAGGAGUCAAAAGUUUAUACUAAUUUUUGAGGUGGGCCCAACCCAAAUGAAAUUAUGUUUUUUUUUUCAAUAAUUUGAAGAUCCAGAAUAAAAAACCAAGUCCCAUGUUUACUUUUACAAAAGCUGAUGAAAUAUAUGCAAUUUGUUUUAGAGCAACAAAUCCGGACAGACAAGGGUAGAAUAAUAAAAUUGGACUAUGAGUAGACUACCUAUAACCUACAAAAACAUAACGUUGGAGGACAUGAACUAAUACAAACUCAUGCCCUCCUCACUCCCACUGAUCUCUUCAAACCGAGAAGAGUAUCCAUAUUUUUGGUUGAGCUUUUGACACAUGCUGCAUUCCCAAACUUAAUCUUUGGAUAGGAAUCAAAUUACCUCUUCAGCAUAACUGCUGACGAUUCUUUCUUCCCAUGUUCAACAGAUAGAUAAUCAUUAUAUAGAUAACCAGCAAAAUUGGGGUCUACAUAAACUGCAACAACUUCAGACUUCUCACUUCCAUCAUCCAUGAACUGGAUAGACACACGAGUUGGGGAAGAUGUCUGCAAGAAUCAUCACAUAAUAACACACCAUAUUAAUGUACUUGGACACGGUAACCAAAGGAAAAAAAGAGGGGAGUGUGCAAAGGCAAAUUCAGACAAGUAGCGAGGGACCUACACUUUCAAACCGGUAAAUGUUCUCCUCAUGGAGGAGGACAUGAGCAUUUUCGUAAUAAACUGAAUCGACAUACUUCUCAGGUUUCCGUGACCUUUCAUAUUCAUAUAACUGAAGCAGCUUACCGUCUAGCUCAUCACUUGAAACAGUUUGAAGCUGAAGCAAAAAUAAAUAAAUAAAUAGAACCAAAAGCAUGUUCAAGAACCACCAAGUCGCAGCUUACCAGAUUACGUUCAAAUAACUAGAGCAACAAUACCUGCUUGACCAGUUUAUAUAUCAGUUUGUCCAAAGUAAAUAGCACAUAAGACUGAUUCCCAAUGAUUGAUCGGCAAUCAUCCUCAAACUUUGCAUUAUCUGCAGAUCCAUCUAGCAAACUAUACAGUGCACUCAUGAAUCUGCACACACAGAUCAACUGUUGUUAAAAAUAAGCAAGCAGACCGAACUUCUGAUCUAACCCCAAAGAUAAUACUUGCAAUCCACCUGGCAUAUGGAUCAGAACCAGUAUCCUCUCCAGUUCUCCACUUUGAUUCAGAUGAUGCUGCAUUCAGCUUUGCCGAUAAUAACCUUUCAUACAAAUUCUGGAAAAAUAAAAGAGAAAAUAAGGAAUACAACUUACACAUCUUUAGGUUCAGACAAGAGGCAGGGUUUGAAGGGAGUUUUCACUUAGCGGUACCACAAUCUAAAAGAAAAUCCCCUUACCUGAUGAAGCCUAAAAAGCACAUAAAAGUCGUCAUUUCCAUAAAAGACUCGAAGGUCGUUCUUUGCACCCCCACAAUGAGGUGAAACCACAUGUUUAGCAAGAGGCUUUGAAGUAAGCAAGAAACGUUCAGACAUUUGAAGCACAGUGGCAUCACCUGCAACAAAGUUUGCUUCACUCGUGCCCUCAGCCUCACCUUCACUCUCAACUUUACCAUCAAGCUCGUCAUGUUCUCCAUCGUCUUCUUCCUCAUGCUCCUCCCGAGAGCACUCAUCAGCAGCAGACUCACUACCUGAAACAUCUCCGGCCUCGGAAACAUUUUCACUAUCUUCAACGUCAGCAUCUGCAUCGUUUUCACCAGCAGUAUCCUGACAACCAACCAUUUCAGCACCUCCAGAUUGAUAUUGCAUAUUUCCUUUGCAUGCGGCACCAUCUCGAAAGCCAACAAAAUUGUCCUGUUCAAAAUCCUGAUUAGGCGACAACUCACCUUCUUCUUUCUCAUUUUUAGAGGGAUCAACAGAAUCAGCAUUAAACCCAUCAAUUCUAGAACCUUCAGCAAAUCCGCCAUUUGCCAAGGGUAGUGAUCUUGAAGUGCCACCCUGUGUCAAGAAAGAGAAACCACAUUUACCUAUGAGCAAUCAUGAUCAUCAGCACAAACCAAACUUAACAUAGUUAGAGCUUCAUACCUCUGAAAUUGGCACAUUAUCAGUAUUAGACUUCGCUCCUAGGCCAUCCUCAGCAGCGUCAUUACCAGGUCGUGUGCCGCGGCCUGGAUAAACAAACAUCAGUUUGGAAAAUUAAGGAACUUGGUCAAAACUAAAAGACACCAACAGUAAGGACACAUUUGGUUUGAGGGAUUGGGUGAAUACUCAUGGUUAUAGAAUUUGGUAGAGCUUUAUCCAAUGCUAUGUUUGUAUUUUGAAUCAUGCAUAACUAAUCCUGGUAUAAUUUAAUACACCAAUGGUGUAUUACUGUAUACCACUAGCAACAUGGGAUAACUUAUACAUGGAUAAAGCACCAAACAGACCCCUAAGUCCAACAAAUUCAGCAUGACCAAGACAGUGGAGAAACAUCCAUCAUGCACCAUAAAUCACACAUAGUCCGGAUACAUGUAUACCUGAAGUACUUUCCAAUCUUGCACAAGCAUUAUCUGCUCCGAGGGCAGAAACUGCAUCAGAACUAAGUAAGCGUUCACCAGCUACUGCUAAUCCAUCUUCCUUGGGGCAAGCAUCUGUAUUAGUGAAGAUUGCCCUGGAAGAAUUUAGCCGUUGAGGGGAAGAAUUUGCAUCUCCGUUGCAGAUAUCUUUUGAUUGCUUAGACUUAGUAGUGGUAACAUCUGCACUUGGACUUCUAUCACUUUCGCCAAUGCUUGUUCCAUUGCUCUUCAAACCAUGAUACUUUGACAAGACAUCGUCGCCAGUAGCCUCAGAGCCAUGAUGACGAUAAGGAACACCAAAGAUUGGCUCAAGAAAGGUGGUCCACAGCCUCAGAACUUUAUUUAACUGCUCUUCUGUGGAACAAACCUCUUCACAAGAAUACUUGAUAAGUUUGUACAUGUCUUCGUGAACAUCAGAAUCAGCAAAUUCAAAUUCAAGAUGAGGGCUUAUUGGACGUCUACUACCAGCGGCAAUAGCAAGAAUCAUGUCAUCUUCUUUCUGCUUUUUCUCCUUAAUUUCUUUGAUCUCCGCUACUAAGGCUGUCAAUCAGAAUCAUCAAAAUUAUAAGAAAGAACCACAUGAAACAUCUAAGUGAAAAUAUCAAUGUCUAUACACUAGACAAUCAUGAAGUUCCUAGGCUUUACAUCAACUAUCUACUGAUCUCACAGUCAAAUACUCAGAACUGUGUAGCAGUAGCACAUAAUAAAUAGAAAAAAAUACAUAUAGCAUGUAAACUAGGAUAACUAGCACCAUCUAUAUGCAAAAAGGAGAACAGGGCAAAAAGCAUACUGAAAAGUGUCGCAAGCUCACUAGAACAAGCAGUCAAUAUUUCCGAAAUAAGGCAGCAAGAACAUAAAUGGAAUGUGUAGCAAGUACAGUAGAAUGCUAGUACUAUCUGUAUGAAAAGGACAUACACGAAAGUGCAGUUGGAAAGGCUAGCAUAUAUUAAGAGAGUGAAUAUCCAAUUACGAUGAAUAAAGCUAGAUAGUAAUAGCAAAGAGAAUAAGGAAUUGAUGGCUCGUCCAGAAUGUGUAAGAAUAGAAAAGAAUAGAAAGAAGCUUUAUGGAAUAAACAGAACAGAUGAAUAACGGAAGGCACACAAAACAUUAUGGUGAAGGGGAGCCUCGGCGUAACUGGUAAAGUUGUUGCCAUGUGACCAGAAGGUCACGGGUUCGAGCCGUGGAAACAAGCUCUUGCAGAAAUGCAAGAAUAGACCCUUGUGGUCCGGCCCUUCCCCGGAUCCUGCGCAUAGUGGGAGCUUAGUGGACCGGGCUGCCCUUUUACACAAACAUUAUGGUGCACUAAUAUAAGUCUAAAUGAAAUAGCAUUGUUAGCCCCAUACGACCAUGAAAAAUGGGGCCACGAGAAUUUUAAAAAAAACUGUGAAGGGAAGUCCACAGCGAAAACCAAGACCACCACAUACACCAAACAGAGGACUUACAUUUUGUGCUAAGGUUCUUUGAAUCUUGUUGCUUGAAAUAGAAACUUCGGUGGUCAAGCGACUUGUAAUGGUUCUUAGAAUAAAUUUCAGCCCAAACUCUGUUGAAGUCUGAGCGACACUUCGUCCACUCCUCCUGUUUCUGCUUCAAGCGGGUAAAUACAACAGGCAGAGCAAGAGGUGGGUUUUUCCGCAAAAUGUCCAUCACAUCCAGGCCAUGGUCACCAUAGAGACGUUCAAUGCACCUUAAAUUCAGUGCUACAUAAAGUAGAACUUCAUGCAUCAGCAAACUACAAACUAUACAUCUUUAUGUUAAUGAACUGAGCAUAAAGACAGCAGCAUCUUAAUGAUAUCACAAAUGUCAAACCUGUGAAGUGGUCUUCGAUGCGGAUUGGGCCAUCCACACCAACUGAAUUAUCAUUAAGGGCAUUCAACAACUCUUCUGCACGCUUAGCAGUUGAACUCACUGACUCCAAUAACAUGUCUAGCUCAAACCUGAUGUUAACAGAAUGCAACAAACCAUCAUUGAUAAAAUGCAGAAGAUAACCACUAAAGGCAAGCCUUAAGAGGAUAUAAUACAGAAGGUUUUAUAAGUCAAUAAGCUAUUUCAAGAACCAUAUACAUUAGGUAAUUCUUAUUUGACCUAAUAAUUGCAAAGGAGAGAGGAGUCUCAUAGAAGUGAUAGAAAGGCCAGAUUCCCUGCACUUCUCUUAACUGAUUGUUUUCUUAGGAUUUAUUUUAUUUUCUAAUGCUUUAUCAUUCCCAAGUUUUUCUCUUUCCCUUUCCUUUUUUUCUCAAUUUCUUUAGUUGGCAAUGGGUUAGGGCCUAGGGGUAACCGCUUAACACUUGCAAAAAAAAAAAAAAACCUAACCUAUCAUCUUCACAUCGAAACAGGCUUUCUUCAUACUGGUUUCUGCGCAUGUGCUUAAAAGAGUAGUCCUCACUUCCUGAGGUCACAGAUACCCAAUGAUCAUUUAACACUUGAGCCCCGAGCUCUGACCUUUGGCUCGCUGUAGGUAUCGGAUACUGCCGAAAACAGAUUCAACAAGUUCAAGUCAAUAUAGUUCGGAAGCGAUCGAGAUUCCUCCAUGUAAGAUUUUACCAGGAAAACAGAUAGAGCAGUUUCUUACAUCUUCAGGAAGAAGUCGAUAACUGGGAGUGCAGCGCUUACAGUUCGAAAGGUCAAGCUCUUGAAUGGACUUUCCCCAGUAUUUCUCCUUGUACCGGUCCUUUUCUUUACCUCCAUCAAUUUCACGCUUCUGUUCUUUGUCUUUCUCCUCCUCCUUCACUGACUUUGAUGUAUGCCCUUCAUUCCACAAAGAUUCUGUUAUUAACAGAACACUUCAUCAGACUAUAGUGAUAAAAAAUAGGCAUCCCAAGAAGACAAAAGAAAUGCUUUUCUUCUCUCUUUUUCUUUUUUUUUCGUUUUUCUUUUAGAUGGUUGAGUGUCAGGUAUUGGCACUACUUACUGUUGCUCAUAACACCUGCGAGAUAUCCAUCUGCAGAGUAGGUAACAUUCAGAGUCGAAUCCCAUAGAUGUAAAGUUACAAUCACACAAACUACAAAAAUAACAGAAUUACCAAUUCGUUCACAGCGCUCCAAGAAUUCAUAGAAUCCCUCCAUAAGAUCAGGAUGCUUUCCAAGUAAAUCAGCAACCUGAUAUAUGCAUUUCUUUCAAAUUCGUGAUGCUUAAACAAAAAUAAACAAGCAAACCAUCUAGAUAUUGAUUCCAAACAUUGUAGUGUCAUUCAAUCCUGUGGAAAUCAUGAUUAAGCUAGUUUUCUACCACAUGGAGAGGGAUAAAGAGGUCAAAUCCCUGGUGAAUAACCAUCAGAACCAAUUUGUAUCACUAACAUGACUAGUGCCUAAUCAAUGUCCAUAAUAUGAUAGAUUAAAAUUUUGAAUGCCUUCUAUAUGUUAAAUAUAACAAAGAAAAUCACUGCCAUACAGGAGUAAAAAGAUCAAACAGACAUACCAAACUUUGUAACUCCUUUCUGCUAAUUAUUUCUGUACUAUAAAUAUGGAGGCACUUUAGGAAUGCCUGGUAAUCAGUUGGACUGCGUAGUCUCUCCUUUACUCUUUCACAGAAAGUGAACUCUUGGCUAUACAUAUCUGGCACAAUCAAGCAAAUCAUAAAGGUCAAUCAUCAACUCUCGUGACAACAUGCGGGGUACAAAGAUCAUAUGUUAAGAACACCAAAAUGAAACAACAAAGUGAAACUCGCAUGAUAAGAACACCAUCCACCAGAAUAAAGGAACAAUAAAUUUCUUGCGACCAAAGGCCAAGCAACAGCAAAAAUGACAAGAAAAUAUUUUAAAGGAUCGCCUAUUCAAACUUCCGGCAUAAGAUGGAAGUUUUGUGAUUAAGGAUGAACUAACAAACAUUAGAAUUUCAAAACUCGUAUAGAAACCUAAGAUAAAUGAACACCAUACAGCAGAACAGAUUGUACUGAGGGGUCAUAAGCCUAAAGAAUAAUGGCAGAAAAUGCUAACAAAAGAAAUUUAUCUGCUAACAAAACAAAUCAUAUACAAAACCACUAUCAUCCUUAUAUACUAACAAUCAGAAUGCUAACCAUGCACUCACUUUUCACGCCAUCUUUAUCAUCGUAAGUGCCUCCGAACUCUUCAACCUUCCGAGCAGAUUUUCUUUUAUCAGCAAUGCGGAGCAUGCUUAUAUCUCCAUUAUUCUCAUUAUCAGGUUCUCUAUAAUCCUGAUCGCGACUUCUGCGGUCCCUGUUCUCUUUUUCAGCACGCCUCUUUUGCUCUUUAUGCAACUUUAUCAUUGAUUUAUCAUCGUCCAUCUCAGGGCGUUCAGCACUAGGAUCACGUUCUGCAUGAGGACUGAUAAUCCUAUCCCGGCGGAAACGUUGCUAGAAUGAAGAACAAAUAGACUCAUCAAUAUGGUAGUGGAACAAAUAGCAUUAAAAAACUAGAAUAAGAUAACAAGAUAAAUCAAAUAGAAUACCUUGUCCGUGUGUGGUUGCCGAAGCAAUGUAGCAGAGCUCCUCUCAUCAUAACGAUGGAAAGAAGGUCGGCCCAAUGAAGUCUGUGUUGCUGAUGCAGUAGCUGAAGAAUCUGGCAAGAAUCUCGUGAACUCAUCCAGCAAAUCAGGAUGGUCUUCAAAAAGUGCUGCAACCUACACAUUUAGAGAGAACUGAACACAUUAAAAAUACGAAAGUUGUCUAUCAUAUUUAUGCAUCAAUUACUCAGUGUUGUACCUCCUGGUACACCUCAGUAAUGCCCUUGUGUUCCUUCCUAUACAUGUUCAAAAUGUCUAAGAAAGACUUGUACACGUGAUCAUCAUUUUGGAAACGUUUCUGCAGGAAUCAGAACACAUAUAUAUUAUUAGUGAAUGACAUAAAGGAAAAAAGGACAUAUUAUUAUCACUAGUCACUAGAACUGAAAAGCACCAACAUCAUUACCUUUAUUUUGUUCACAAAGCUGAUAGCUUCUUCAAACUCAACUGUUUUCUUUGGAGGAGCCUCCUCUUCUUCAGUGAGGGUUAUUUCAUAGCCCUUGGGCAAGAAAGUAUUGAACCCAAGGAUCAAAUUUGGAUGCCCUUUAAACAAAUCUUUUACUCUUGCUAUGACACCGGAAGUGUCAAUUCUGUGCAGGGAAAUCAACAUAAUUAUGCAAAAAUUCCUCCAUGAAUCAUCAGAUUUGGAAUUUUUUAUUUUUUUUUAAAAAAAGGCAAGCAACAAACCUUUGAGCCUUAAAGUCUUUCAUAACAUCAAGGAACAAGUCAUACUUCUCCCUUUGGUCUUGAAACAUGUCCUUAACUUCCUUCAAAUAAGACAAUGCAUCAUUAGUUGUCAACUUUUGGGUGCUAGCACUGGCACCAACACCCCCUCCAGUACCGCCAACACUAUUGCCUCCGCCGCCAGCGCCACUUCCAGGAACCUGUGAUUGGCCGUAUCUUCGUUGGGAGAAAAAGAAAAAAUUAUACAUAGAAUCAAACUAAAAAUAGCCACGAAAUUUAUUGCUCUAAACCAUAUAAUUGACCAUUUUCUUCCCACCAUAUGCUUUUAAUAGGAUAAAAGUACUAUUCCCAUCCAUUCUUAGCACCUUGGUUAGUUCGCCCAAAAGUCAUAGUUUCAAAUUCCUUUCUCAAGAUUGUCAUAACUCAACAAAACAAAUAAAUAAACAGUGAUUUUGUUUCUAGUUUUCCUUUGCCCAAGAGAUUGACUAAAGAAACAUUUUUAAAAAAAAAACAUAGGAAAAAAAAUUGAUAAGAUAAACUCACCCCUAACAACCCCCCCCCCCCAAAACCCACCAGUGUAGGAUCCAACAGUGGCCCUUUUCCACUUUGUCCCUUGAUGAUUUGAACCCGUGGAGGAUCCUUUCUACCAAGUACCAACCUAUCUGUCCCUUAGCAACUCAUAGUUCCAUUACUGGGAAGUGAAAUGUCUCUCCUUAACGCGAGGUGGAUUUAGGAUUUGAUAAUUUAUGGGUUCGGAAUUCUAGAACAGCGACCUCAAGUGCUAAGAAUCAGGUUCGAAAUUUAAUAUUUGUACAUAGUGAUUUCUUAAUGCAUAUAUAAGUCUAGGUCAAAGCUACUAGGUUAGGGUGAAUGAAUAACUUACACUGCGGAUCCGCCCCAGUGACCUUAACUAAAUUGUUUAUUAAACAGUCUAUUACUAGUAGUUAAAUACUUUUUAGCAAAUUAAAUCCAUCAAAACAAAAGCAGCAUGCAUAAAGAUCAAAUCUUUAUUUAAAAAUCCGCAGGAAAAUCUCUGAGUGGUAGUAGAAACAAAGAUACAACCUAACAUAAGUCUUAAGGCACGGUGGAAGGUGGAAUCUAACUACUUCUGAUCACAAAAUUUUAGCCAUCACAGACCACAUAGUAACUAAAGGUCUCUAAUUCACUUAAAACUAGCGAAGAAAUUCAGCAAGUUCAGAAUCUAAAAAUAUCAUAAUAGAGAAUUUUUAAAUAAGAAAAUAACCUGAUUCAAACCUAUAAUACAACAACAAAAAACACAAGAAAAGAGAAGAGCUUACGAUUCUCCACGAGAAGAACCAAAUGGGCGCUUGAAUUGAGGAUUAGCAUAAACAUCAUCCCGUAAUCGCUUCAUUAGGUCUGCAAAACACAACAGUAAAAAAAAGUUAAACUUAACAGUUCAAAAUUCAAAACCCAAAAAAAAAAAAUUACUCAUCUCAUUUUUCUAGAAAACUCACCUUUAUUUCCUCAGAUUUUCUGAGGAAAAAUUCAACAGAUCUAACCACUGGUUGAAGAAGAAAAAAACAGUUUUAAAGUUUGGAUCAGAAAAAGAAAUAGUAAUCGUUAUUAUUCUCUAUAAUUUUGUUCUCUCUCUCUCUAACGUUGGGGAAGAAGAAGAAUAACACAAGCUUGAGGAACAAAGGGGGUAGUGAAAAAUGUAUUAACGUGAGAAAAAAGUGUAUUAGCAUUAGUAUCUUAUAACGUGACUCAAUUUUUUAUAUCACACGAUACAACAUUACAUUGCUUUUUCCCAAUUUGUUUUUUUGAAAUUUCUUGCUCUAUGCUUGGGCUUUAUUGCAUAUUGAACUUAGGUUUUCAAAUACUUCCUUUCACUUGGGCUCACAGCCUGUAACAAGUGAUGUUAUGAGCCCAAAUUUUUUCUAUAGCUCGAGUUUAGGUUGAAGAUUUUUCCAAUGUAUGUUAACUUGAAUCAAUUAUCAAUUUUAUUAAGAAAUGUUUAACAUGAGUUAUGUUCAGUGUUAGGUUUUAACAUUUUGUGUUUAUGGUUUAAUAAUUGUGUUAACACAUGUGCACGUAAAACGAAAAGGCGUGUAUGUUGCGUUUUAACGGAAAUAACUAUUUCUUAUAACAGAUUAUGAUAAUCCCAAAAGAAAAUGUAAUUUACGAAAUUAGGUGAUGUAAUGAUAGAAGGAAGGAAAUUUACUUCCAGUUGCAUAAAUGUAUGUUGAUUUUCUUACCUAAUUGCUGGUUACAAAUAACAAAUGUAGUACCGCUAUAUCUAUAUUAUAUUAAAAGGAGAGUAGUGAAGCAUGUGAUUAAGCCAAAUGGCAAGCUAAAAAGAAGUCACUUGACAAUUUUAAGACAACAUUAAUAAAUAAAAAUUAUAAAUUGAAACAUAAUUAAUGGAAGUAUUUUAAUAAAUUUUAUACAUAAUCUAAAUAGAUAUUAGACAAAUCUAAUCUAUAUAUCUAUAUUUAUAUUUAUAUUUAAUAUCUAUUUUUAUAUUUAUAUUUAAUAUCUAUAUUUAUAUCUAUAUAUCUAUAACUAACGUAAAUCCACAANNNNNNNNNNNNNNNNNNNNNNNNNAUUGUUAGAUAUGGCACGUUCCAUAUCGUGAUAAAUUAGACAGCCCCUUGAAUUACUUAUUCAGGAUGAAAAGGUGCAUACAUUUUUAAGUGCUAUUAAACUUUUCCAUUACCAUGUAAUGUGGAUAUUCAAGUUGUUUUGUAUUUUCUUAAACUUAUGUGUAUAUUUAAUCCACAUUAAUUACGGUUUUGUUAGGGUCUAGAUAGACCAAACGAUAUGAAAUUUAAGAUCAACAAGCAUAAAUUGAAACUGACGUUUUCUCAUAGGACGGAUGUGGUUGAAAUUAAUGUUCUGCAGUUUAGUUUGAAUAUCAUCAACUUUAAACCUUGUGAGCAUUUGAUAAAUCAACUUGAUGUUGAUAAGAAUGAACUAUUCGGUAAUUACUUCAUCUUUCAUUAUUUCUUCUACAAGGUGUUGAUCCCACAAAUGGCAGAUGGAGCAGAAUCGAAAAUGAAGAAAAUCAAUCCUACUUUUGCGUGAUAUAACGAAUGGUCAAUUCCAAACAGGUAAUCGUUUUUCACUAUAAUUGUGCAUAUAUAACUUACCUAAACUGAUUAUUGUUCAUAUACAAUUUCACAAUCAAGAUAGAAGAGAGCGCCUUUUAAGUAUUGGUGUCAAUGAAAUGAGGAUACAAAAAAAUGUGAUAAGCUCAAACAUGUUAGUUAAUACAGCUGCAUUGAUAACAUAGCGGCUAUAAAAUAGGGAAGUUUGAUCCGUAAUUGCAAAGUGAAUUUGCACUCUUUGAUAUAUAUUUUAAAUGUGGAUAAUUGAAGGAAGCUGAAAUUUAUCUCAAUAACUCCAUGAGAAUAGCAACAUACUGACAUUUAGUUAAUUACUCAUAUAUCUCGAAUGCUUAUGAGAGCUGAGAUUUUUUUUUUGCAGUACUUCGUAUGUUUUUAAUCUUUUCUCACUUUUUUUUCUCCUAUGCGUGUGUAUUCUUGAUAAUGAGCAUACAAUGAUAAACCAAAGUUAAAAAAUAGUAUAUUAAGUAAUAAACUUAAAGUCCAAAAUCUACUAAAAAAAUAUACUAAUAUAUUUAAGAAAAUUGAUUAAGGGCAUGUAGAAGAUGAAAAAUUAAAGAGAUCAUUAAACUGAUGUAGCUCACAGGCUUCAUAUGAAGCAAAAUUUAUAGCAUCAUUAUUUUUCAUGGAAUAUCUAUUAUGGCGGCGGAAUAAAAGUUUUACUGGAGUCUCAAAAUAUAUUUAAUGUUUGGUUGUAAAAAUGAUAUCAACACUAACAAAUUAAAAUAUACAGUGUAAAUUGUUCUUUUUAAUUCUCAGUGCAUCGCGCGGGUACAAAUACUAGUAUGUUGUAAAAAAAAGAUAGUUAAUAAAGAUUAUCACUUGGCGGCGGAAAAAUUUAAAUAUAGAAUAAUAUGUACAUUAAGUUUUUCUUAUUUGAUCUAUCAAUGUUUGCUUACUGGAAAACACAACCGUUUAUUAACUACUGCGUAUUGAACAUUUAAGAAGAUUUCAUGUUGGUGCCUAUUGAGAAAAAAUAGAGGGGUAUACUACUGUUGAUAUGAAACUUAUAUAUUCGAAGUGAAACGUUUUGUAUUAUGUUAUUAUAUUUCUAAAUAAUAAAACAAUCAUCAACUAAAAGACGUUUAUUAAAUACAACUUAUAUUAGGGCAAAUCAACAUAGCACUAUAUUGGUUUAUGCAUAGAAAUUGGUGGUACUGCACAAAGCUGGUUUAUGCAAGUAUGUGUAUUGUUCUAUGUGAUAUAAAAUAGUACUAUCAAAUAAGAAUACGUAUAUUAGCAGCACAGGAAUUAAAUUAUCUAAAGACAAAAAUAUCUUUUAAAAGUAAGUAAUUUUUAUGUAUAACGUAAAAUUUCUUGAUUAAUCACCGUAUAAUAAAUUUUUUGUUUUUCAUCAUCAAAUAAACAAUACAUGCACUAUAACUCGCACAUAUUUGUAACGUGGAACUACCUGAGACUAUUACAGAUUAUGCCAUACAGAGAUUAUUUGGUAUAGUUAGAACAUUUAUUGACGUUUCACCAGAUAAGCAUUAGUUUUGGGCGCUGAAAUAUUAAGUUUAUAUUCAAUGAAUAUUAGCUUACACAUGAGGUCAUAUACUUUGACCAAGUUGAACUCCCAUUGUAGACUUUCUAGAAAAAUGCUUUGGCAAUUUUUUUUUGGAGAAACUCUUUUAAAAAAGGUCUUCUUACGAAAGUAAUUCAAACUAAUUCGGUCGGCUGCUAUUUUUAAAGAUUUGGGAUUGUUUCCACAACUAACACUUCACCUUUUUUUGUAAAGGACUACAAAUAAAGAGAAAAUUUAUUAUAUCUUACCACCAAAAUUCUAACAUAUUAUUAUAUCUUUAAAAAAACUGCAAAACACCUAAAAUAUGAUAAAUUGCGGCAUGUAUAAAAUUACCAUCGACAACUCACCUAUGGUAAGUUUUUCUCUAUAGAAUAAGCAAUAUAAUUUUUAGCAAAAUGCCAAGUUGUAUACAUAUAAUCAGGGUUGACAUUCUUACACAAGUGCAGUACAAAAUACAAUUGACCUACGAAACCGUACAGUCAAAGCCCAGAUACGCUGGGCUUGGGCCCAGGGUAUAUAAUCGGAAACGUUGGACUAGAUUUGGUGAGGUGCGCCAGGCCUGGGCUAUAGUGCAAAGCCUAGGCGACGCUCGAAGGACCAGAUAGCAAGCUACCCUAAUGGACCUUCCCCUUAAAAAAUUAAGUUAAUAUCGUGUGGGCUGAUAGCCCACAUAUCAGAUAUUAAACUGAUAAGAACAAAUACUACACUUGAUCUUAGCCAAAAGGCCGAGAAAGGUAUGCUUUAAAACGUUCUCGGGCCUCUAUUUUUAUAGCAUCUCUCGGCUAUCUACUUAUUAGCUCUCUCCGGUGUGGGAUAAAUACACCUCAGUGGAUGAUUCGAGUAUUGCCGAGCUGCA